rnacentral:rRNA from 1 species
CUACGGGUUGCACCAGUGGGGAAUAUUGCACAAUGGGCGCAAGCCUGAUGCAGCCAUGCCGCGUGUAUGAAGAAGGCCUUCGGGUUGUAAAGUACUUUCAGCGGGGAGGAAGGGAGUAAAGUUAAUACCUUUGCUCAUUGACGUUACCCGCAGAAGAAGCACCGGCUAACUCCGUGCCAGCAGCCGCGGUAAUACGGAGGGUGCAAGCGUUAAUCGGAAUUACUGGGCGUAAAGCGCACGCAGGCGGUUUGUUAAGUCAGAUGUGAAAUCCCCGGGCUCAACCUGGGAACUGCAUCUGAUAUUGGCAAGCUUGAGUCUCGUAGAGGGGGGUAGAAUUCCAGGCGUAGCGGUGAAAUGCGUAGAGAUCUGGAGGAAUACCGGUGGCGAAGGCGGCCCCCUGGACGAAGACUGACGCUCAGGUGCGAAAGCGUGGGGAGCAAACAGGAUUAGAUACCCCAGUAGUC